AUUGAACGCUGGCGGAAUGCUUUACACAUGCAAGUCGAACGGCAGCACGGACUUCGGUCUGGUGGUGAGUGGCGAACGGGUGAGUAAUGUAUCGGAACGUGCCCAGUCGUGGGGGAUAAGGUAGUGAAAAUUACGCUAAUACCGCAUACGAUCUAUGGACUAAAGCGGGGGAUCGCAAGACAUCGCGCGAUUGGCGCGGCCGACAUCAGAUUAGGUAGUUGGUGGGGUAAAGGCCAGACAAGGCAACGAUCUGUAGCUGGUCUGAGAGGACGGCCAGCCACACUGGAUCUGAGACACGGUCCAGACUCCGACGGGAGGCAGCAGUGGGGAAUUUUGGACAAUGGGCGAAAGCCUGAUCCAGCCAUUCCGCGUGCAGGAUGAAGGCCCUCGGGUUGUAAACUGCUUUUGUACAGAACGAAAAGGUUUCUACUAAUACUAGGAGCUCAUGACGGUACUGUAAGAAUAAGCACCGGCUAACUACGUGCCAGCCGCCGCCGUAA
rnacentral:rRNA from 1 species